rnacentral:rRNA from 1 species
GUCGCAAGACCAAAGAGGGGGACCUUCGGGCCUCUUGCCAUCAGAUGUGCCCAGAUGGGAUUAGCUUGUUGGUGAGGUAACGGCUCACCAAGGCGACGAUCCCUAGCUGGUCUGAGAGGAUGACCAGCCACACUGGAACUGAGACACGGUCCAGACUCCUACGGGAGGCAGCAGUGGGGAAUAUUGCACAAUGGGCGCAAGCCUGAUGCAGCCAUGCCGCGUGUAUGAAGAAGGCCUUCGGGUUGUAAAGUACUUUCAGCGGGGAGGAAGGUGUUGUGGUUAAUAACCGCAGCAAUUGACGUUACCCGCAGAAGAAGCACCGGCUAACUCCGUGCCAGCAGCCGCGGUAAUACGGAGGGUGCAAGCGUUAAUCGGAAUUACUGGGCGUAAAGCGCACGCAGGCGGUCUGUCAAGUCGGAUGUGAAAUCCCCGGGCUCAACCUGGGAACUGCAUUCGAAACUGGCAGGCUUGAGUCUUGUAGAGGGGGGUAGAAUUCCAGGUGUAGCGGUGAAAUGCGUAGAGAUCUGGAGGAAUACCGGUGGCGAAGGCGGCCCCCUGGACAAAGACUGACGCUCAGGUGCGAAAGCGUGGGGAGCAAACAGGAUUAGAUACCCUGGUAGUCCACGCCGUAAACGAUGUCUACUUGGAGGUUGUGCCCUUGAGGCGUGGCUUCCGGAGCUAACGCGUUAAGUAGACCGCCUGGGGAGUACGGCCGCAAGGUUAAAACUCAAAUGAAUUGACGGGGGCCCGCACAAGCGGUGGAGCAUGUGGUUUAAUUCGAUGCAACGCGAAGAACCUUACCUGGUCUUGACAUCCACGGAAGUUUUCAGAGAUGGAUUGUGCCUUCGGGAACCGUGAGACAGGUGCUGCAUGGCUGUCGUCAGCUCGUGUUGUGAAAUGUUGGGUUAAGUCCCGCAACGAGCGCAACCCUUAUCCUUUGUUGCCAGCGGUCCGGCCGGGAACUCAAAGGAGACUGCCAGUGAUAAACUGGAGGAAGGUGGGGAUGACGUCAAGUCAUCAUGGCCCUUACGACCAGGGCUACACACGUGCUACAAUGGCGCAUACAAAGAGAAGCGACCUCGCGAGAGCAAGCGGACCUCAUAAAGUGCGUCGUAGUCCGGAUUGGAGUCUGCAACUCGACUCCAUGAAGUCGGAAUCGCUAGUAAUCGUGGAUCAGAAUGCCACGGUGAAUACGUUCCCGGGCCUUGUACACACCGCCCGUCACACCAUGGGAGUGGGUUGCAAAAGAAGUAGGUAGCUUAACCUUCGGGAGGGCGCUUACCACUUUGUGAUUCAUGACUGGGGUGAAGUCGUAACAAGGUAACCGUAGGGGAACCUGCGGUUGGAUCACCUCCUUACCUUAAAGAAGC